rnacentral:rRNA from 1 species
AUACGUAGGUGGCAAGCGUUGUCCGGAUUUACUGGGUGUAAAGGGCGUGCAGCCGGGACGGCAAGUCAGAUGUGAAAUCCAUGGGCUUAACCCAUGAACUGCAUUUGAAACUGUCGUUCUUGAGUACCGGAGGGGCAAUCGGAAUUCCUAGUGUAGCGGUGAAAUGCGUAGAUAUUAGGAGGAACACCAGUGGCGAAGGCGUAUUGAUGGACGGAAACUGACGGUGAGGCGCGAAAGUGUGGGGAGCAAAAAGGAUUAGAUACCCUGGUAGUCCACACUGUAAACGAUGGAUACUAGGUGUGCGGGGACUGACCCCCUGCGUGCCGGCGUUAACACAAUAAGUAUCCCACCUGGGGAGUACGAUCGCAAGGUUGAAACUCAAAGGAAUUGACGGGG